rnacentral:rRNA from 1 species
GACGAACGCUGGCGGCGUGCUUAACACAUGCAAGUCGAACGGUAAGGCCCUUUCGGGGGUACACGAGUGGCGGACGGGGGAGUAACACGUGGGUGAUCUUCCCUGCACUUUGGGAUAAGCCUGGGAAACUGGGUCUAAUACCGGAUAGGACUACGCGAUGCAUGUCGUGUGGUGGAAAGCUUUUGCGGUGUGGGAUGGGCCUGCGGCCUAUCAGCUCGCUGGUGGGGUGAUGGCCUACCAAGGCGACGACGGGUAGCCGGCCUGGGAGGGUGUCCGGCCACACUGGGACUGAGAUAGGGCCCAGACGCCUACGGGAGGCAGCAGUGGGGAGUAUUGCACAAUGGGCGCAAGCCUGAUGCAGCGACGCCGCGUGGGGGAUGACGGCCUUCGGGUUGUAAACCCCUUUCAGCACAGACGAAGCGUAAGUGACGGUAUGUGCAGAAGAAGCACCGGCCAACUACGUG